rnacentral:rRNA from 1 species
GACGAACGCUGGCGGCGUGCCUAAUACAUGCAAGUAGAACGCUGAAGGAGGAGCUUGCUUCUCUGGAUGAGUUGCGAACGGGUGAGUAACGCGUAGGUAACCUGCCUGGUAGCGGGGGAUAACUAUUGGAAACGAUAGCUAAUACCGCAUAAGAGUAGAUGUUGCAUGACAUUUGCUUAAAAGGUGCAAUUGCAUCACUACCAGAUGGACCUGCGUUGUAUUAGCUAAUUGGUGGGGUAACGGCUCACCAAGGCGACGAUACAUAGCCGACCUGAGAGGGUGAUCGGCCACACUGGGACUGAGACACGGCCCAGACUCCUACGGGAGGCAGCAGUAGGGAAUCUUCGGCAAUGGACGGAAGUCUGACCGAGCAACGCCGCGUGAGUGAAGAAGGUUUUCGGAUCGUAAAGCUCUGUUGUAAGAGAAGAACGAGUGUGAGAGUGGAAAGUUCACACUGUGACGGUAUCUUACCAGAAAGGGACGGCUAACUACGUG